UACGUAGGUGGCAAGCGUUACUCGGAAUUACUAGGCGUAAAGCGCAGGUAGGUGGUUUGGCAAGUCCGUAAUGAAAUCUCCCCGGCUUAACUGGGAGGGGUUUAGGGAUACUGCCAGGCUUGAGUGUGGGAGAGGUAACUGGAAUUCCUGGUGUAGCGGUGAAAUGCGUAGAGAUCAGGAGGAACACCUAUGGCGAAAGCAGGUUACUGGCCCAAUACUGACACUGAGCUGCGAAAGCUAGGGGAGCAAACAGG
rnacentral:rRNA from 1 species